rnacentral:rRNA from 1 species
GACGAACGCUGGCGGCGUGCCUAAUACAUGCAAGUAGAACGCACAGUUUAUACCGUAGCUUGCUACACCAUAGACUGUGAGUUGCGAACGGGUGAGUAACGCGUAGGUAACCUGCCUGGUAGCGGGGGAUAACUAUUGGAAACGAUAGCUAAUACCGCAUAAUAUUAAUUAUUGCAUGAUAAUUAAUUGAAAGGUGCAAUUGCACCACUACCAGAUGGACCUGCGUUGUAUUAGCUAGUAGGUGAGGUAACGGCUCACCUAGGCGACGAUACAUAGCCGACCUGAGAGGGUGAUCGGCCACACUGGGACUGAGACACGGCCCAGACUCCUACGGGAGGCAGCAGUAGGGAAUCUUCGGCAAUGAACGAAAGUCUGACCGAGCAACGCCGCGUGAGUGAAGAAGGUUUUCGGAUCGUAAAGCUCUGUUGUAAGAGAAGAACGGGUGUGAGAGUGGAAAGUUCACACUGUGACGGUAUCUUA